GAAGGAGAUAGAGAGAGACCUUACGGAUUCAAGGAAGAGAUGGAGAACCGUAACUCAGCAUGCCUUUCUACAUCAUCAAAACAAUGGCUCAGUUCCAAACUGUGAUGUGAGCAGGCCAAGGGAGGCUUGAAAUGUAGUAAGUCUGUUACUACCUGGACCAAAAUCACAAGAACAGCCACCAGCGUGAUGCCUAGAAGCAUGAGCGCAUGAGUGAUCUUGGGAAUGCGGAUGAUUUGGCGACUUCUUGUGGCUUCGUUUUUCAGUACAUAAUUCUGCAUCUCGGUUUCUUGGCUGCACCUACAAAAGCAAGGAGAUGAUGAAAAGG